rnacentral:rRNA from 1 species
AACGAACGCUGGCGGCGUGGAUUAGGCAUGCAAGUCGAACGCGAAAGAGGGGGAAACCCCUUGAGUAGAGUGGCGAACGGGUGAGUAACGCGUGAAGAACCUGCCUUCAACAGGGGAUAACACUCCCAACGGGGUGCUAAUACCGCAUGAGACCACGGGUCCACAUGGACCUGAGGUCAAAGGUGGCCUCUGCUUGCAAGCUACCGGUUGAAGAUGGCUUCGCGUCCCAUUAGCAGUUGGCGGUGUAACGGACCACCAAGGCGACGAUGGGUAGCUGGUCUGAGAGGAUGGUCAGCCACACUGGGACUGAGAUACGGCCCAGACUCCUACGGGAGGCAGCAGUCGAGAGCUUGGCAAUGGGGAACCCUGACCAAGCGACGCCGCGUGGAGGAUGAAGGCCUUUGGGUUGUAAACUCCUUUUGUCGGGAAGAAACGCGAUCAGGUGAAUAAUCUGGUCGCUUGACGGUACCCGCGAAUAAGCUCCGGCUAACUCCGUGACAGCCGCCGCCGUAA